rnacentral:rRNA from 1 species
CCUACGGGUGGCAGCAGUGGGGAAUAUUGGACAAUGGGGGGAACCCUGAUCCAGCCAUGCCGCGUGUGUGAAGAAGGCCCUCGGGUUGUAAAGCACUUUCAGUGAGGAAGAACGCCUGGUGGUUAAUACCCAUCAGGAAAGACAUCACUCACAGAAGAAGCACCGGCUAACUCCGUGCCAGCAGCCGCGGUAAUACGGAGGGUGCGAGCGUUAAUCGGAAUUACUGGGCGUAAAGCGCGCGUAGGUGGCUUGAUAAGCCGGUUGUGAAAGCCCCGGGCUCAACCUGGGAACGGCAUCCGGAACUGUCAAGCUAGAGUGCAGGAGAGGAAGGUAGAAUUCCCGGUGUAGCGGUGAAAUGCGUAGAGAUCGGGAGGAAUAACAGUGGCGAAGGCGGCCUUCUGGACUGACACUGACACUGAGGUGCGAAAGCGUGGGUAGCAAACAGGAUUAGAUACCCUAGUAGUC